AAACCGUGAUAAGGGGACACCGAGUGCCAGCAUCAUAUGCUGGCUGUCCGGAUGUGUAAAAUACAUCCGUUAGCAAGGGCCGGGCAAGACCGGUGCCAGCCGCCGCGGUAACACCGGCGGCCCGAGUGGUGAUCGUGAUUAUUGGGUCUAAAGGGUCCGUAGCCGGUUUGGUCAGUCCUCCGGGAAAUCUGAUAGCUUAACUAUUAGGCUUUCGGGGGAUACUGCCAGACUGGAACCGG
rnacentral:rRNA from 1 species